AGUACAGUGGCGGACGGGUGAGUACGCGUGAUCAUCUACCCUCGGGAGGGGGAGGACAUGCGAAAGGAUGGGUAUACCCCAUAAGACCACGGUAUCGCAUGGUACAGUGGUAAAAAUGUUGGGAUCUUCGGACCUUCUGCCUGAGGAUGAGAUCGCGUCCUAUUAGCUGGUUGGUGGGGUAAUGGCCUACCAAUGCGGUGAUGGGUAGCCGGCCUGAGAGGGUGGACGGCCACACUGGAACUGAGAGACGGUCCANACUCCUACUGGAGGCAGCAGUGCUGAAUUAUUCGCCAAUGCGCGAAAGCGUGACGGUGCGACGCCGCGUGAAGGAUGAAUGCCCUCGGGUCGUAAACUUCUGUCAGGUCCUAGGAAACUGUAGUCGUGAAUAGCGGCUGCACUGACCAGGUCCAAAGGAAGCACAGGCUAAUCUCGUGCCAGCAGCCGCGGUAAUACGAGAUGUGCGAGCGUUGUUCGGAAUCACUGGGCAUAAAGGGUGCGCAGGCGGUUCGGUCAGU
rnacentral:rRNA from 1 species